UUCCCGUCGAAGACAAUGAUCCCCGUAGUACAAUGUACCUUUGGAGACCGGUCAAUAUCUUCUUCAUCGGUGACCGCCAUUUCCGUGCGCUUCAACAAAGAGUCGUCACGCCUACCAACGUUACCGAGUUGUAUCUGUACUCACAGAGCAUAUUGAAUGCCGUGGCCUUUAUGAUCCGGGAGGACUAUCCAAGCUGUGACAUCAAAUUGAAGACCAGUGGCACAUACGUGGUGACGAACGACGAAGAUAAGAAAUUCAUGCAAAAGCCAGGUUCCGUUGUUGGGCUGAGCGACAUGCAUCGCAUUCAGGACUUCGUGGAACAAAACACCGCGGCGAGUUUCGCAGAUAUAGUGAUCGUAUUGCUUG